rnacentral:lncRNA from 1 species
UUCUAUUUAAAUCCUAAAUUCUAUUAAAAACCCUAUUUUUAAUUAGUAUGUUUUAAUUAAAAUUUUGCUACACUUCAAUUUUUAAUUGUCCAAACCCUAGUAAUUAUUUGGGAAACAUUAAGAUGUAAAAUCUAGUGAAUAAAUACUAGAUUCAAGCACCUUAGACAAGAAUACCCUUGAGAUUAAAAUGAAUUUACAAAAAUGCCCUUUUUGUCCCAUUUGGUGUAUUAUUGUUGGAAGAUCUUAUCAAAUCAGCAGCCACCCUAGUCUACACUUCCUAAUUGUGAGCUACAACACCAGCACAUCAGCUACUAACAACCAAGUACAUUGCAUCAAUUCAUUUGCAUAAUUUAAGAGAGAGAAAACCACAAAACAAAGUUAUUUGAUCACUUAUACUUAGCCAUAUUCUCUCAAGCUCAAACCCACGAAAUUUUAGUGUUAGUUCAGUCACAAAUCAAGCCCCACGAACACCAACAUCAAAUCAGAAGCAUAGAAAUCAGAAUUGGAGCAUAAAGGUGCAAACCCUAAAAAUUCGAAAAUCUUUUGAUCUUAUGUUAUAUGUAAUUUUUUUUGUGUUAAAUAUGUUGUAUGGGGUGUUAAUCG